AUGUGGAUAGCCUUAUGGUUGGCGGCGAUGACAGCGAGCGACGACGGUGUUGUCAGCAACGACAACAACGUUUAUAUAUAUCAUAAUUUUCAUUGCAAAUUUUUUCUGCAACAUCGUUUGGGUUGCAAAAUUUUCUUUUGCAACAACAUCCGUUUUCCAUAUUUUUCUUCAACAUCAUCUAUGUUGCAUGUUGCGAAAGUUCAUUCCACCACAACACCCAUGUUGCAUGAAAGUGAAGACUUUUUUUUGCAACAUCAUCUAUGUUGCAAAAGUUCAUUCCGCAACAACACCCAUGUUGCACAAAAGUGA
rnacentral:rRNA from 1 species